rnacentral:misc_RNA from 1 species
CACUUUUAUCCACGUGUCUAGACAUCCGUCUAUGACAUAAACCCCCUUCAUAGCGAACUAGUCGGGUGGUGUUGGCUCUUUUUACCAAGUCUUCAUCAUUCCGUCAUUUUUUCUCCUUAUUUUUUAAUCAUUUUUAAAACCCAAUUGAAACUCUAGACUGAAACCUUGUUGUAGGUAGCGAAAGUUACUUGCAUCGAAAAAAACAAAAUUCUAAA